CCCCACGCGGUUGGCCCUCCGAGGGCGGACAGCCGUCGCCCCCAUCGGGGUCUGCCCUUCGCCCAAUCGGAUUCGUUUUUACGAAAUAAGCCUCCGGCCUUCUCAUCCAUCGAGGCUGGCGAUUGGUGGAGGCUCAGCCAGCGUGCGCUUUCCCUGUAGCUGUUGUUUUUGAAAAUGUGUUGGACGUGACCGGAGAGCAAGAGUUUGUUCGAGUAUUUGAGGGAUGUGGUUGUCAAUUCAGCCUUUCAGGUCAGAUGGCAGUCUUCAACCAAUUCAGUUCUCUCCAUUUGAUGUCAAAGAAUAGCUGGAGAAAAUGGAUAUUGUAAGGAGUAUGGGGCCUGUCAACAUACUGACAAUAGCAUGGAAGACGCGUACCAUUCUGGUGAGAUGACGGUGGAGUAGGGAUUCUGAGGCCUGGGCUUCUCCGCUUUUGGUGAAGACGUCAAUCGUGGUGAUUGCAUCAGUGGCGAUUCAAGGAGGUGGCGGCACAGGUGAAUUUGGGCCCGGUACAAGACCCAGUGGCUGCAUUGGCGAGGUAGGCCCAAAGAAGACUCAUGAUGGCGAUGAAGUCGAGUUUAGGCGGAACAGUACUGAGCAGCAUCAGUGGCGUGUGCAGUACUGAGAUCCAGCGAAAACUCACAGUAGUGAGGGCAUUGGUGGACACAAGAUGGUGCCAAAGAGUGAUGAAUUUUGUUCCAGCAGUGGCAACGUGGCGAAGGAGACUUGUGCCUGGCCAUCAGGCCCUUGGCCCAUGAUGGAACUCUUAACAAGGAGGACUGGAAAGUUGGAUACUUGCUUCCUCAUUUUUCUGCCUUGAAUAUUCUAUGUUUUGUUUCAUUUUACUGUGUUAUAAGAUGGUGCUGGAGAUGGCGACACUACAGCAUGUUUCACUGUAUUUUUUAACAAGAUACAUGGGACAAUAAAUAAAUCACAUGAAUCCAAAUCAGAAUUUGCUGUAUCCUGACCUAAGCUGGUCUAGUGAUGUUGCAACAGUAGUAGUGUGGGAAAUUGCCCAGGUAUGUUCUGUACACCAAAAGCAGGAGAACUCCAACAUGCCAUUAGUUUACCCUCAAUACAUAAUCAAAAUGAUGGGCAGGACCAUCAAUGGUGCUAUCAAGCAGGAUUUGCUAAGCAAUGACCUGCUCACCUGAAGUUCAAUUUGCAUUUGCCAUUGCCACUCGGCUCCUGAGGUUAUUUCCAGCUUGGUACUACCAUGGACCAAAGAACUGAAUUCCAGAGGUGAAGUGAGAGUGACUACCCUUGAACUGAAGGCACACUCAACCAAGUGUGGCAUCAAAGUCCCUCAAAAAAAAACUAGCGUCAAUGGGCAUGAGGUUGGAGGGCAGGAGAGUUAACCACUGGUUGGAGUCAUACUUGCCAUGUAGGAAGAUGGAUAUGUUUAUUGGAGUCAUUUCAAUCUUUUCAGCUCCAGGACAUCUCUGCAGAAGUUCCUCGGCAGUGUCCUCAUUCAAUCAUCUUCAGCUGAUUUGUCAAUGACCUUCCCUCCAUGUGGUCAGAAGUGGGAAUGCUUGCUGCUGAUUGCGCAAUGUUCAGCACCAUUUGGCACUCCUCAGAUACUGAAGCAGUCUAAAGUUCAAAUGCAGCAAGACUUGGACAGUAUCCAGAUUGGUGUUGACAAGUGGCAAAUGUUGUUUGCUCCAAACAAAUGCCUGGCAAUAACUGUCUCUAACAAGACAAAAUCUAGCAGUUGCCCCUUGACAUUCAUUGGCAUUACUAUCAGUGACUCCUCCACUGUCAAUAUCAUGACCAAAAACUGAUCUGGACUAGUCAUGUCAAAACUGUGGUUACAAGAAUAGGUGAGGAUGGAAACCCUGCAUUGGGUAACUCAUUUGAAUCUCCUGAGUCAGUCCACAAUAGUCAAGACAGAAGUUGGAGUUUUGGUUGAAUACUCCCCACUCGCUUGAAUGUUGUUGGAACUGCACUCAGUCAAAAAGCUCAACAAAGCUGCCUGCUUGAGAUAUAAUAUAUCCACGAAUCUUCACUCCCCCCACCACUGACACAGCUGCAAUAUGUAUCAUCUACAAGACCCUUUCAUUCAAUAUCUCUCCAAUAAAAUAUUGUAGCUAGCAAGGUGUUUAUGCCUAACCUUAACAAUGACUAAUCCUAUCAAAUUCUGCAAGGAUGUUAUUGCCUAAAUCUUAAAAUAUUUGAAGGAUAAAAAUGUCAAGUAUUUUACAUUGUCCCAUUACCUGACAAGGCAUGUCUUUACACCUUUUGUAAAUAAA